AGCGAACGCUGGCGGCAGGCCUAACACAUGCAAGUCGAACGGACCCUUCGGGGUUAGUGGCGGACGGGUGAGUAACACGUGGGAACGUGCCUUUAGGUUCGGAAUAGCUCCUGGAAACGGGUGGUAAUGCCGAAUGUGCCCUUCGGGGGAAAGAUUUAUCGCCUUUAGAGCGGCCCGCGUCUGAUUAGCUAGUUGGUGAGGUAAUGGCUCACCAAGGCGACGAUCAGUAGCUGGUCUGAGAGGAUGACCAGCCACAUUGGGACUGAGGCACGGCCCAAACUCCUACGGGAGGCAGCAGUGGGGAAUCUUGCACAAUGGGUGAAAGCCUGACGCAGCCAUGCCGCGUGGAUGAUGGAGGUCUUAGGAUUGUAAAAUCCUUUCACCGGUGAAGAUAAUGACUGUAGCCGGAGAAGAAGCCCCGGCUAACUUCGUGCCAGCCGCCGCUGUAACAC
rnacentral:rRNA from 1 species